AACCCAGGAACAGAGCCACCAAGGACAGAGCUUCAUACUUGGCCACUCGCAGCAGCCUGAGCUUUGACCCACACCCCAUCGACCAACUGGCACAGAACUGUUUGCUCGUAGAGGGGGGUGGGUGGCACUCUGAAGGCUAUCCAGCACGAUCCGGCCCUUUCCCUUGGCAAUUCUGUGACACUUUCCAAUCUAAGGCCGACAGAGCAAGGCAACCAGAUUUUUUUCUACAGCACCCUCCCAGGUGAGCAGUGGGCCUGGAGCCCUUCUGUAACCUGGCAUCUGUAGGUCUUCUCAUUAAGAACGAGAGUCAGAAGAGGAAAGGACUUAACACUCAUUACAACUCAGUCAUGGGCAGGCACUCUGAGUCCUCCGCAAAAGAAUGUGCAGGAUCAGAGGCCUCUUUCCAUUCUGCAAGGGUCACGCAAGACCCAUGGAAUUCAACAGGAGGCAAUCUAGGGACUAUAAAAGGUCGCGACGUCUGGCUUGAGGUUAAUGGAAGUUACAAAGGGUCAAAAGCCGACAGUGAGCGCUACCAGGCCGCCCUGUGGGCUCAGGAUAGUUUCCCACCUACUCGACUGUAAUUAGUACUCUGGCGAGAGUAAAAAGGUACUGGCGUGGGACUUAGAAUACAGGAUGCCACCGGCUGAAGAAGAACCUUGUGUGUUUGGAAAAGCGGGCUGCUUCCUAUCGGUCUUGGAUAAAAGGCAACCCAGAGCCCGGGUGCAUCCCUAACUCAUGCCCAAGGAAGGUCGUGCGGAGCCAGAGGACCUAGAAUGUAUAGUGCGCCUUCUGGGUUUGUCCACACAAUAGCGCAGGAACACAGCGACCCAAUAUAGUGAGAAGUGGCCGCAGCGCACACCCUGAGACCCUUCACCAGGCGGCCCACCCGGAGCCUGCCUACUCAGCCCCGCUACCACGAUAAGCCUGGAAUGUCAAAUAUUUGUUCUAGGAACCCAGUGAAACCUUGAGGUAAAGCCCCUCCCCUCCUCCCUCCCAUUCCGGAGCGCGCCUGCGUCAGUCCAGGCUUUCCGGUAAGGACACUCCCUUCCAACUAGUUCCUUCUCGACACCCCUGCAACCCAUCGUCCUGACUAUUUAAACUUCACAAGGUCUUCGCUACAGGCUCAGGUUCAGUGAGGCAGAGUCUUGGCUUCCCUACCCAGUUAUCCCAGAGCUACUGGUAUCGGUUUCUACCCACAACCUCCGAGCAAGGCUCCCCUUUCAACCUGUAGACCUCGCCUCCCGAUUCUCGGGAGAUCUUGCUGACUGUGGAAUCCCUGGCUGUUCCGAACCCCCUGGAAAGAAGCGGCUGUUCCCAGGUUUCUGCAAGGUAACGAAUCUGAAGAGUCAACAGAAUUGAGCGGCUCCAUUCAUUCGACUCUGGUUCUCUCAACCAGGCAUUCCCCAUAUUAAAACAAUUCCAGAACUUCAAA
rnacentral:lncRNA from 1 species